rnacentral:rRNA from 1 species
UACGUAGGGGGCGAGCGUUGUCCGGAGUUACUGGGCGUAAAGCGCACGCAGGCGGUUCUGCGCGUUUCCAGUGCCAGCUCGCUGCUUAACGGCGAGAGUGCCGGGAAGACGGCAGGACUUGAGGGCCUCAGAGGGACAUAGAAUUCCGGGUGGAGUGGUGAAAUGCGUAGAUAUCCGGAGGAAUACCAAAGGCGAAGGCAGUGUCCUGGGAGGUGACUGACGCUGAGGUGCGAAAGCCAGGGGAGCGAACGGG